UACGUAGGGGGCAAGCGUUGUCCGGAAUUAUUGGGCGUAAAGAGCUCGUAGGCGGCUUGUCGCGUCGGAUGUGAAAGCCCGGGGCUUAACUCCGGGUCUGCAUUCGAUACGGGCAGGCUAGAGUUCGGUAGGGGAGAUCGGAAUUCCUGGUGUAGCGGUGAAAUGCGCAGAUAUCAGGAGGAACACCGGUGGCGAAGGCGGAUCUCUGGGCCGAUACUGACGCUGAGGAGCGAAAGCGUGGGGAGCAAACAGG
rnacentral:rRNA from 1 species